UACGGGGGGGGUAAGCGUUGUUCGGAAUUACUGGGCGUAAAGGGCUCGUAGGCGGCCAACUAAGUCAUACGUGAAAUCCCUCAGCUUAACUGGGGAACUGCGUGUGAUACUGGAUGGCUUGGAUUUGGGAGAGGGAUGCGGAAUUCCAGGUGUAGCGGUGAAAUGCGUAGAUAUUAGGAAGAACACCAGUGGCGAAGGCGGCUCACUGGCUCGGUACUGACGCUGAGGCGCGAAAGCGUGGGGAGCAAACAGG
rnacentral:rRNA from 1 species